GGCUGGUUCAGUAUUCAUAACAUUUUAUUGAACAAAUAUUAUGCACAAUAAAUAUUUAUAUUUUUUAAAUUCUGUUUAAAAUAUGCAGAACUACUGAAAACAUAAGAACAAAAAACAAAAAAAGAGCACCCACCAAACCUACUACACCACAAUUGUAAUGAAAAAGUACAACGCAAAACAACACAAAUCGAACAUAUAGUCUUAUCCAGAUGGCUUAACAAGAUACACAAUGUAAGUCAGAAUAAUUCAUGUACACAAGCAACUGAUGAGACAAGGGAUGUUUUCACAGGUAGGUGGUAUUUGUACCACAAACUACUUUCGAGCAAUGAAACAAUAACUUUCUUACUUUCUCCAAUAAAGUGCCUAAUAAUAUACUUUUGCGUCCACAAUAAUUUAUGUAGACAAGGCUGAACGUGGUUUUUGUCAAAUGUUGGUCUAUCGAUUAUGGUGUACAUAUACUCUUUUACAUACACUUGAUCAGGCCAGUAAACAAAAAAUACUUCCUUUGUAAAACAUGUAUGUCUAAUUACAAAGAAUACCGAACAAAAACUGCUUUCAUAUAGAUGGAUAUGGGUAAGAAUCAAGAUAAACGGAAAUUCUUACAGUUUAACACCAAAUGCCGAUUAAGAAAAAGACUUCGAACAUACUGUGCUAUCAAACUUUGGUCAAGGUAGUCUUUAAAAAGAAACACCAUUAUCCAGUUGAAUUUAAUACAGUGUAUGUGUGUGUUGUUAUCUUUUGUGUUUAUAGACGACAUAGUAUAACAGUUUUUCUACAGAACUGUUUACAUAAUUACAAAUACAUUUUUACAUUUAAUAAUAAUACUAUGAUCUAUCAAGGUCAGAAAUAAAUUUGAAAAUAUAAUUGAUUAAAAGGUAAGACAAAUAUUUAUUUUAGUCACAUUACGAAAACGGCUGUGGAAAUGUAAAUAUAUUUAGUAAUGGUAUUGGCAGAUUAUAGAAUUGUUAUAUAACAGAAAACCUUUCCUUAUUUUCCCUGAUAAUAAUUUAGAAACACAUUUGAAAAACGUGUUAUCAUUAUAAAAGGUGAUUAUCACCACUGACAGUACUUCAAAAUACUAAGCCAUAGAAAAUAGGUUUCUGUUACCCAAGAACUUGCUCUGAACAUGCGGCAUUAACUUUUGUCUGCUUAGUAAAUAUACUUUAUCAUGAAUACUGUCUUAAGAUAAGCUGCAUUAAUAGUCUGUGCUUAUAGUUUCCCAUUCUACCAUACUAAAGAGAAGCAAAAAGCUUGCUUGUGAUACAGAAUAUGGCCAAUGAUAGGACAAUGUCACUUCCUUAUUUCAGUCAAACCUUCCUAACAUUAUACCAUUUAAUACUAUUUCUGGCAUUAUAUAAGCACUUUUUGAGUAUUCAACCCGAAUAAGAUGAAUACGAUGUAAUUGUAUGGCUAUGGAAACGUACCCAUUAAUCAUUAUAAUGGCUAUUCAUUCAAACUAUUUACAGUAAACAAUUCCAAGUUAAGAACAGUAAAAAAUGUCACGAUUGUCAAUCAAACAAAACCGGCUACCCAUUCCUCAGAAUGUUGAUGAUGUUGAAUGCUCAGUAUUAUAUUCAUUUCAAUUAUCUGUGUGCAAAUCUAUAUAAAAAGGACAACAGGAGCUGCAAUCGACCUAGCUUUUUUUCAUAUUGCAGCAUCUCACCUUGGAAUUACCUACAAAACACAAAAGCAAAGUCAAUAAAAAAAAAAGGGGAUUGUCAACUCUAAUAUAUGUGUAAUUAGCAUUUAUUGUUGAGGAAAUAGAUAACAUCUAAUAAAAAAAAAUUUGAUAUCAUAAACAGAAUUCUGAUUUUUUGUUUGCCUCCAGUGUGCUUCAGUAAGAUUCAAUAGAUUUGCAAAUUGUGUUUAGUAAUCAUUCUUUGCCAUGAAAAUGUUUUGCCUGCUAAAUAUGUUACACAUUCAGUUACAAAUGAAAUAAAUAUGUAAAAUAGUUAAAUAAAAUCAUGAAUGUAAGGCUGAGGUCAUCGUCAACCUCAAAGUGGUGAGAGAGCAGAAAGGACCACUAGUCGCUAGGCUGCAACCACAACAUCAACUUCAGUUUCACCAGAUAUUGA
ensembl:lncRNA